GGGAGCUCUCCCAUAUGGUCGACCUGCAGGCGGCCGCGAAUUCACUAGUGAUUCGUAUUACCGCGGCUGCUGGCACGGAGUUAGCCGGAGCUUAUUCUCCCGGUACUGUCAUUAUCAUCCCGGGUAAAAGAGCUUUACGACCCUAAGGCCUUCAUCACUCACGCGGCAUUGCUGGAUCAGGCUUGCGCCCAUUGUCCAAUAUUCCCCACUGCUGCCUCCCGUAGGAGUCUGGGCCGUGUCUCAGUCCCAGUGUGGCUGAUCAUCCUCUCAGACCAGCUAAGGAUCGUCGGCUUGGUAGGCCUUUACCCCACCAACUACCUAAUCCUACGCGGGCUCAUCCCUGGCCGAUAAAUCUUUGGUCCGAAGACAUCAUCCGGUAUUAGCAGUCAUUUCUAACUGUUAUUCCGAAGCCAAGGGCAGAUUCCCACGCGUUACGCACCCGUGCGCCACUAACCCCGAAGGGUUCGUUCGACUUGCAUGUGUUAGGCAUGCCGCCAGCGUUCGUUCUGAGCCAUGAUCAAACUCUAAUCGAAUUCCCGCGGCCGCC
rnacentral:rRNA from 1 species